CGCACGGGUGCGUAACGCGUGGGAAUCUGCCCCUCCGGUUCGGAAUAACAGUUAGAAAUGACUGCUAAUACCGGAUGAUGACGAAAGUCCAAAGAUUUAUCGCCGAGGGAUGAGCCCGCGUAGGAUUAGCUAGUUGGUGAGGUAAAAGCUCACCAAGGCGACGAUCCUUAGCUGGUCUGAGAGGAUGAUCAGCCACAUUGGGACUGAGACACGGCCCAA
rnacentral:rRNA from 1 species